GAUUAACGCUGGCGGCGUGCAUAACACAUGCAAGUCGAACGAUGAAACUUUAAUGACCCCUUCGGGGAGAAUUAAAGCGGAUUAGUGGCGAACGGGUGAGUAACGCGUGAGUAACCUGCCUUACACAAGGGGAUAGCCUUUGGAAACGAAGAAUAAUACCCUAUAAAACCAUAAAAGCACAUGCAAUUAUGGUCAAAGUGAUAGCGGUGUAAGAUGGACUUGCGUCUGAUUAGCUAGUUGGUGAGAUAAAAGCCCACCAAGGCAACGAUCAGUAGCCGGCUUGAGAGAGUGUACGGCCACAUUGGGACUGAGACACGGCCCAGACUCCUACGGGAGGCAGCAGUGGGGAAUUUUGCACAAUGGGGGAAACCCCGAUGCAGCGACGCCGCGUGAUUUAGAAGGCCUUCGGGUUGUAAAAAUCUUUUGUAUAGGAAGAAAAUGACAGUACUAUACGAAUAAGGUCCGGCUAAUUACGUG
rnacentral:rRNA from 1 species